rnacentral:rRNA from 1 species
GACGAACGCUGGCGGCGUGCUUAACGCAUGCAAGUCGAACGGAAAGGCCUCAGCUUGCUGGGGUACUCGAGUGGCGAACGGGUGAGUAACACGUGGGUGAUCUGCCUUGCACUCUGGGAUAAGCUUGGGAAACUGGGUCUAAUACCGGAUAUGAACUGCCUUUAGUGUGGUGGUUGGAAAGUUUUUUCGGUGCAAGAUGAGCUCGCGGCCUAUCAGCUUGUUGGUGGGGUAAUGGCCUACCAAGGCGUCGACGGGUAGCCGGCCUGAGAGGGUGUACGGCCACAUUGGGACUGAGAUACGGCCCAGACUCCUACGGGAGGCAGCAGUGGGGAAUAUUGCACAAUGGGCGGAAGCCUGAUGCAGCGACGCCGCGUGGGGGAUGACGGCCUUCGGGUUGUAAACUCCUUUCAACAGGGACGAAGCUUUUUGUGACGGUACCUGUAUAAGAAGCACCGGCUAACUACGUG